AGAAAUAAAAAAAAUAAAUUAAAUAAAAAUAAAUAAAUAAAUAAGAGCUAGCCAAAUUGUAAAAGCUAAGUACCCAUCAGUAAAUGUUUAAGUUAUGUUUAGCCCUAUCAUGCUCUAUAUCAUCAUGGAGUGCUUAAGAAAAACAUAAUAAGCCAGGCACGGUGGCUUAUGCCUGUAAUCCUAACACUUAGGGAGGCCAUGGCGGGCAGAUCACCUGAGGUCAGGUGUUUGAGACCAGCCUGACCAAUAUGGCAAAACCCCGUCUCUACUAAAAAUACAAAAAUUAGCCGGCUGUGGUGGCACAUGCCUGUAAUCCCAGCUACUCAGGAGGCUGAGGCAGGAGAAUCACUUGAACCCAGGAGGCAGAGGUUGCAGUGAGCUGAGAUCACGCCACUGCACACCAGCCUGGGUGACAGAGUAAGACUCUGUCUCAGAAAAAAAAAAAAAAGAAAAGAAAGAAAAGAAAAGCAUAAUAAUACAGCAAUUAUGGUAAAUAGAAUAAAGGCAAGCUAGGACUAAUACAAAAUGCUCUGGCCUACAUGAAAUAUGCAUGCAUUAGAAAAAAUACCUUGUAUUGUAUUUCCUUUUAUUGUAUUUCCUUUCAUGUUCACAGUGGCUGAUCUUUCCCUAUUCUUAUAACAGUCAACAGUUUGUGUAUUUACAUGUGCCAGACCCUGCAUUUAGUGUUUUAUAGAUAUCCUUAUUUAAACAUUAACCAUAGGAUGAGAUUAUAUCUUUUUUUAAACCAUUACCAUGAAUACUUUUAUUUUUUUAGCACAGACUAUUAUAAGUGGAUGACCAGUUUUCAUCCUUUUUAUUUAAACAGCUUUAUUGUGGCAUAUUUUACAUAUCACAGAAUUCAUCUAUUUCAAUACAAUUCAGUGAUUUCUAGUAACCUUACCAAGAAAUGCAGUCAUCACCAUAGUCCAGUUUUAUAAUUUUUUAUUUCCCUACUAAGCUCCUUCGUGUCUAUUUACAUUUAAUCCUCAUUUCUACUCCCAGCCCCAGACAAUCACUAAUUUAAUUUCUGUCUCUAUAUUGCCUUUUCUGGACAUUUUAUAUAAAUGGAAUUAUACAUUAUGUGGUCCCUUGGUCUUUUGUACCUGGCUUCUUUCACUUAGUGUAAUGGUUUUGAGUUUUGUCUAUUUCAUAGCACAUGUCAGCAGUUUAUUCCUUUUUAUUGCUGAGAAAAUCUCCCAGUAUAGUGAAUAUACCAGCUUUUGUCUAUCCAUUUGCCAGAUGAUGGACAUUUAAGUUGUUUAUGGUUUGGGGAUAUUAUAAAUAUAUACCAUUUCUUAGAUGAAGAAACUGUGGCCUCCAAGAAGGUCAGUAACUCUCCCCAGAUUGCACAGCUACUCAAUGUCAGAGCCAGGGUUUGGAUCCAAGCUUACCCAACUCCAAAACCCAAUCACGCUGUUUAUUGCUAGAAUUAGGGGAUGAAUUUUGUCCUUUAUAUUUUUGUUUCUAUACAUCUUAUGAUAUAUAUUUUAUAAUUUAAAAUUUUGUUAGAAGUGUUUAAAUAUCUUUAAAUUGUGACCAAUAAAGCUAUGAUGUGUUACCUCUUCCAGGGAUAGUCAGAUUUUGUGGAUAAAGUGUUAGCUUUAUUCAUUCCUUCAGUAAAGCUGUCACAUUUCAGCCCUCAACAAAAGAUAAACCAAAGACAGGGACCAUGGUAGCAGGCUACCCCAGAGAUGCCUUGCAGAUUUACCUCUGCUGAAGCCUCUGGACUUUGUGCUAGCACUGCCAUAGAAUUGCUCAGGGUCCUCCUGGAACCAUAAGACAUCCCGGGCUUCUGUUUGAAGCUGAAGGUUAAAGAUGAGGCCAGAACAACCUGAGUGAUAGGAGUAAAGUGUUCCUCAAUGAAAACAUUUCCUGAUCAAUCUGUCUUUUAUGAAGUCAGACAAAAGUUGAGUAAAUCCUGGUAUUUUUACUGGUUUGUUUUUCAAUGCUUGGAAAUGUUUUACUGAGUGUAGGCAUUUUUCUGUGGGUCUUAACAGCAGUUACACUUCAUAAUCAUCUUAAAACACACCUAACAUAAAAUUUACCAUCUUGGCCAUUUUUAACUGUACAAUUCAGUGGUAUGAAACAUAUUCAUAAUGUUUAAUAAUCAUCACCAUCCAGCUCCAUAACUGAUUUUCAUCUUGUAAAGCUGAAACUCUACACAUAUCGAAAAGUAACUCCUUAUGUCUCCCACUCCCCAGCCCCUGGCAACCAGUCUAUAUGUUUCUAUGAUUUUGACAACUCUAAAUACCUCAUAAAAAUGAGAUCAGGCAGUAUUUCUUUUUGUGACUGGCUUAUUUCACUUAGCAUCAUAUGCUCAUAGUUCAUCCAUGUUGUAGCAUAUGUCAGAAUUUCCUUCCUUUCUCAGCCUGAAUAGUAUUUUAUUGUAUGUAUAUGCCACAAUUUGCUUAUCCAUUCAUCUGUUGAAUGGACACUUGGGCUGCUCCGUGUUUUAGCAAAUGUGAGUAGUGCUGCUCUGAACAUGGGUGAUAAAUUUCCCUAAAAUUUUGUGUUCAAUUAUUUGGACAUAUACCAAGACGUGAAAUUGCUGGAUUGUAUGGUUAUCUGUUUUUAAUUUUUUCAGGAACUUCCAUACUGUUUUCCAAGUAGCUAUACCAUUUUACAUUCCCACUUGCAGUGCUCAAGGGUUCCAAUUUUCCACUUUCUCCACAUCCUCACCAACACUUAUUUUCUGUUUUUUGAUAGUAACCUUUCUAGCAAGUGUAAAGUGGUAUCUUAUUAUAAUUCUGAUUUGUAUUUCUCUAAUGAUUAGUGAUGCUGAGCAUCUUUUCAUGUGCUUAUUGGCCAUUUGAUUAUUCUCUUUGGAGAAAUGUCUAUUCAAGUCCUUUGCCCACUUUUGAAUUAGUUUUUUGUUGUUGUUGCUGUUGAGUUUUAAGAGUUCUCUAUAUAUUCUGGACAUUAAUCUCUUAUCAGAUAUAUGAUUUGCAAAUAUUUUCUUCUAUUUGUGGUUUGCCUUUUUACUCUGUUGAUACUGUCUUUUGAUUUACAAAAUUUUAAAAUUUUCAUAAAAUCCAAUUUGUCUAUUUUUCUCUUGUCGCCUGUGCCUUUGGUAUCAUAUUCAAGAAAUCAUUGCCAAACCAGUGUUUCAAAACUUUUGCCCUAUGUUUUCUUCUAAGAAUUUUAUAGUUUAGUUCUUACAUUUAGGUCCUUGGUCCAUUUUGAGUUAAUUUUUGCAUAUGAUAUUUGGUAAGGGUCCAACUCCAUUCUUUUGCAUGUGGAUAUUCAGUUUUCUCAACAUCAUUUGUUGAAAUGAUUGUUCUUUCCUCAUUGAGUGGUCUUAGCAGCCUUGUCAAAAAUCAUUUGAUGAUACAUAUAAGGGUUUAUUUCUGUGUUCUGUAUUCUAUUCCAUUGGUCUAUUUGUCUGUCUUUAUGCCAAUAACAUAGUAGUAACUUUUGAAAUCAGGAAGUGUGAGUCCUCCGGGUUUGUAAUUUUUCAAGAAUGUUUGGCUAUUUGGGGUCCCUUGAGAUUCUAUAUGAAUUUUAGAAUGGGUUCUUCUAUUUCUGUAAAAAAAAGUCAUUGGUAUACUGAUAGAGAUUGCAUUGAAUCUAUAGAUUGCUCUGGGUUAUAUUGACAUCUUAACAGUUUUAUCCAAACAUGGGAUGUGUUUCAAUUUAUUUAGGUCUUUAAUUUCUUUCAGUAAUAUUUUAUAGUUUUCAUUGUACAAGUCUUUCACCUCCUUGGUUAUUUCCUAAGUAUUUUAUUAUUUUUGAUAUUACCAUAAAUGGAAUUGCUUUUGUAAUUUGCUUUGCAGAUUGUUCAUUGUCAGUAUGUAGACAUCCAACUGAUUUUUGUAUGUUGACUUUGUAUCCUACUACUGUGAAUAAUUCCUCUAUUAGCUCUAAAAGCUUUUUGUGAAAUCUUUAGGAUUUUCUGCAUAUCAUAUUAUCUUUGAACAGAAAUGAUUUUAUUCUUCCUUUUUAGUUUGGAUGAUUUUUAUUUUUUUUCUUGACUAAUGUUUCAGGCUAGAACUUCCAGUACUAUGUUAAGUAGAAACGGUGAAGGUAGGCAUCCUUGCCUUAUUCCUGAUCUUAGAGGAAAGGUUUUUGUCUUCUACCAUUGAGUAUGAUGCUUAUUUUAAAUUUUUUCAUAUAUGGCUUUUAUUAUGUUGGGGUAAUAUGUAAUAGGAAUGUCCUCCUAUUCCUAGUUCAUUGGAAUGUUUUUAUUAUGAAAAUGGUUGAUUUUUGUCAAAUGCUUUUUCUGCAUUUGUUGAGAUAAUUGUGGUAUUUUUUCUUUAUUAUUUUAACAUGGUAUAUUACAUUGAUUAUUACAUGCUGAAACAUCCUUGCAUUCCAGAAUUAAUCCCACUUGAUACACAAUCUUUUUAAUAUGCUGCUAAAUUUGGUUUGCUAGUAUUUUGUUGAGAAUUUUUGCAUCAAUAUUCUUAAGGAAUAUUAGUCUGUAGUUUUCUUUUUUUGUUGUGUCUUUGGCUUUGGUAUCAGAGUAAUGCUGGCCUCACUGAAUUAGUUAGAAAGUGUUCCCUACUUUUCAAUUUUUUGGGAAAAUUUGAGAAAUACUGGUAUUAGUUCUUCUUUAAUUGUUUGAUAAAAUUCCCCAGUGAAGCCACCAGGUCCAGGGCUUUUCUUUGCUUAGGAAUUUUUUUUAAUACUGACUCAAUCUCCUUACUAGUUAUAGGUCUAUUCAGGUUUUCUAUUUCUUUAUGAUUUAGACCUGGUAGUUUUUGAGUUUCUGAGAAUUUCCUCAUUUCAUUUAGAUUAUCCAGUUUGUUGGUGUACAAUUGUUCAUAGUACUCUCUAAUAAUCUUUUUUAUUUCUUAAAAAGAAUAAUACUGAAUCAGUAGUAAGUUCCCCUUUUAUUUUUAAUUUUAGUAAUUUGAGACUUUUCUGUUCUUUUUUUUGUCUAUCAAGCUAAAAGUAUUUCAAUUUUUUUUCUCUUUUCAAAGAAUCAACUUUUGGUUUCACUGAUUUUCUUUAUUGUUUUCUAGUUUCUAUUUAUCUCUGCUCUAGUAUUAUUUUUUCUUCCUUCUACUAGCUUUGGGUUUAGUUGUAAAGUUAGGUUUUUGAUUUGAGAUCUUUCUUGUUUUUAAUGUAAGUAUUUAUAGCUAUAAGUUUCCUUCUUAGCAUUGCUUUCCCUUCAUCCCUUAAGUUUUUGGAAUGGUGUCUUUUUUAAAAUUUAUAUCUAAGUAUUUUCAAAUGUUCCUGUGAUUUCCUCUUUGUUCCAUUGGUUGUUUAAUAAUGCAUUUUUUGGUUCCCACAAAUUUUUAAUUUUCCAGUUUUACUUCUUUAUCAAUUUCUAAUGUCAUCUCCUAGUGUCAGAGAAAAUACUUUUUCUUUUUUUCAGACUGAGUCUCACUCUGUUGCCCAGGCUGAAGUGCAGUGGCACAAUCUUGGCUCACUGCAACCUCUGCCUAGUGGGUUCAAGCGAUUCUCCUGCCUCAGCCUCCCAAGUAGCUGGGACUACAGGCACGUGCCACCAUGCCCGGCUAUUUUUUUGUAUUUUUAGUACAGAUGGAGUUUCACCAUGUUAGCCAGGAUGGUUUUGAUCUCCUGACCCUGUGGUCUGCCUGCCUCGGCCUCCCAAAGUGCUGGGAUUACAAGUGUGAGCCACCAUGCCCGGCCAGAAAAUACUUUUUAUGAUAGUUAUCCUUUUAAAUCUAUUGAGACUUAAUUUGUGGCCUAACAUAUAGUCUAUUUUGGAAAAUGCCCCAUGUGCACUUGAGAAAAAUGUGCAUGCUGUUGUUGUUAGGUAGAGUGUUCUGCAUAUGUCUGCUAGAUCUAAUUCAUUUAUUGUGAUGUUUGUCUUCUAUUUCCCUACUUUUCUUUUCUCUGGUGACCUAUUCAUUAUUGAGAGUGGGCUAUUGAAGUGUCCAACUAUUAUUGUAGAACUAUCUUAUUUCUCCCUUGAAUUCUGUUUAUGCUUCAUAUAUAUAUAUAUAUAUAUAUUUUUUUUUGUUUGUUUUUUUUGAGAUGGAGUCUUGCUCUGUCGCCCAGGCCGGACUGCGGACUGCAGUGGCGCAAUCUCGGCUCACUGCAAGCUCCGCUUCCCGGGUUCACGCCAUUCUCCUGCCUCAGCCUGCCGAGUAGCUGGGACUACAGGUGCCCGCCACCGCGCCCGGCUAAUUUUUUGUAUUUUUAGUAGAGACGGGGUUUCACCUUGUUAGCCAGGGUGGUCUCGAUCUCCUGACCUCAUGAUCCACCCGCCUCGGCCUCCCAAAGUGCUGGGAUUACAGGCGUGAGCCACCGCGCCCGGCCGCUUCAUAUAUUUUAAUAGUCUGUCAUUAGGUGCAUACAUGUUUAUAAUGAUUAUGUCUUCUUGAUGUAUUAAACCUUUUAUUAAUAUAUAAUGUCCUUUAACUCUUGUAAGUUUAAAAAAUUAAAGUCUAUAUUGUCUGAUGUUAAUAUAACCACCUCUGCUCUCUUUCAGCUACUAUUUUCAUGGAAUAUCUUUUUCCAUUCUUUCACUUUCAAUCUAUUUGUGUCUUUGGAUCUAAAAUGAGUCUCUUGUAGACAGCAAAUAGUUAGAUCAUGUGUUUUUAAUCCCUUCUGCUAAUCUCUGUCUUUUCACUGGAAAGUUUAAGCCAUUUGUAUUUAAAGUAGUUGCUGAUGAGGAAGGACUUACUUCUGUCAUAAUGUUAUUUAUUAUCUCCCUUAUAGCUUUUUGAUCUUUAUUUUCUGCAUUACUCUCUUAUUUUAUGUUUAGCUUAUUUUUAUAUUGAAAUGUUUACAUUCCUUUCUCAUUUCCUUUUGCGUAUAUUCUAUAGCUAUUUUCUUUGUGGUUACCAUGGGGAUUACAUUUAACAUCCUAAAGUUAUAGCACUCUAAUGUGAUUUUAUAAAAGUUUAACUUCAAUAACAUACACAAAGUCUGCUCCUUUACAGCUUUGCUUUUAUCUCCUUAGUGAUGUCACAAAAUUACAUCCUUAUACAUUGCAUACCCCAAAACAUAAACUAAUAAUUCUUCUAAAUGCACCAAUCUCUUAAAUUAUGUGGAAAACAGUGUGAAGUUACAAAUCAACAUUACAAUAAUUCUAAUUUUUAGACUAAUAAUUGUUUUUUAAUAUGUAUUAAUCUCUUAAAUCAUGUAGAAAACAAAAAGUAGAAUUACAAAGCAUUGUUACAAUAUAUUAGCUUUUAUCAUUGCUCAUGUUAUUUACCUUUACUGAUAUCUUUAUUCCAUUAUACAGCUUUGAGUUACUAUCUGCUGUGCUGUAAUUUCACCCUAUAGAAUUCCUUGAGCAUUUCUCACAGGGCAGGUCUACUAGUAACAGACUCCUUCAGCUUUUGUGUAUUUGAGAACACCCUAAUUUCUCCCUCACUUUUGAAGGAUAGUUUUGCCAGAUAUGGGAUUCUUGGUUCACAGAUGUUGUUUUUUCCUUUUAGCACAUUGAGUAUAUUAGCCCCUGCCUUCUUACCUCCAAAGUUUCUGAUUUGGAAUUUGCUGAUAAUCUAAUUGAGGGUCCACUGUAUUUGAAGAGUUCUUUGUCUCUUGCUGCUCUCAAGAUUCUCUUUGUCUUUUGAAAGUUUGAUUAUAAUGUGUCUUGGUGUGGUUCCUUUUGAGUUCAUCUUACUUGUAGUUUGUUAAUCUUCUUGAAUGUUUAUAUUCAUGGUUUUCAACAAAUUUGGAAAGUUUUCAGCCAUUAUUUUUUCACAUAUUCUCUCUGCCUCUUUCUCUCUCUCUUCUGUUUCUUGGACUCCCACAAUAUGUAUGUUGGUCCACUUGGUGGUAUCCCACAGGUCCUUUGGACUCUGCUUUUUUUUUUCAAUCUUUUUUCUUUCUGUUCCUCAGACUUGAUAUUUUCUAUCAUCUUAUCUUCAAGUUCACUGAUUCUUUCUUUUGCUUGCUUAAAUCUAACUGUGAAUCCCUCUAAUAAAUGUUUAAUUUUAGUUAUAUAUUUUGGCUCCAGAAUUUCUUUUUGGUUUCCUUUUAGGUUUUUAAUAUCCUUUUGAUACUUUCAUUUUGUUCAUAUGUUGCUUUCUUCUGCUUUCUUGACUUUCUUUUUUUUGGUUGGUUGGUUGGUUGGUUGGAGACAGGGACUGCUCACUUUGUCGCUCAGGCUGGAGUGCAGUGGCAUGACCUCAGAUCACUGCAACUUCUGCCUCCCAGGCUCAAGUGAUCCUCCUGUCUCAGACCCCCAAGUAGCUGGAGCUAUAGGUGUGGCCACUGCACUCAGCACUUUUUUUUUUUUUUUUUGUAGAAACAGGGUUUUGCCAUGUUGCCCAGGCUUAUCUCAAACUCCUAAGCUCAAGUGAUCCACCUGCCUUGGCCUCCCAAAGUGCUGAGAUUACAGGUGUGAGCCACUGCACCCAGCCAUGCCUUCUAGACUUUCUCCACAUCCUAUUAGUCCUUUGAGCAUCCUUAAGACAGUUGUUUUAAAGUCUUCAUUUAGUAAAUCUGCCAUCAGGUCUUUUUUAGGGGGGAUGUUUCUGUUGAUUUAUUUUUUUUCCUUUGAAAUGGUCACACUUUCCUGUUUCUUUGUAUGACCUUGUAAUAUUUUUAACUGGACAUUCGAAACUAAUAAUGUAAUACCUCUGACAAUCAGAUUCUCCUCUUUCCCUGUGGUUUGCUAUUGUUUCAUUUGUUAUUUAUGGGGUUUGGUUUUUUUAAUUUUUGUAGGUUCUCUCUGCCAAGGAUCAGCCUGAGGUGUAAACUUAAGGUCUUUCUAAGGUCUUUUCUGAUCCUGCACCUUUCCCUGGGCAUGUGUGGUCUCUUUCUAAUUUUCCUUGUAUAUGCAGUUGCUUUUGAAUGUUCUAGUCUUUAAUGUCUAGCCCCUGAAAGUGGGGAAAAAAACAUGAAAGGAAGGGGAAGAAAGGACAAUUGCCUUUUAAAUUCCCUGGAAGUCACUUCAGCCAGAGAUGGAGGGGUUGGCAACAAUGGUGGCGGGGGGCGGGAAGUAGAACAGCAGUGGCCAGUCUUCUUUUUGUCUGCACCUCUGUGAUCAGGAGCAGCAAUCAGUGAUUAGAAUGGAAAUCUCUGAUGUUUGGAUGACAGAGCCCUUUAUGUUCAUCCUAGCUCCUGCAAGCUUUUUGCAAGCUACUCCAAGGACAUGUGUGCAAUAUUACAGGCAUGGCUACCUGCCAUGGGGCUGAAGGUGAGAGACGGGUAGCUGCUACUGUGCUAAGAGUUAAAAUUGAUCAGAAUUAAAUGCUCUUCACUGUCUAAGCCUUCCUCUGGAGUUUUAAUCCUUCAAUAGACUCCAGAGCUUCAAAAUAGCUACAUCCGAUAUAUUCUGCCAGUGAAAUUGUUGUCUAGGUGGGGUGACAGAUUCCUGGUGCUUCCUACUUUGUCACUUCCUCAGAAUCCUCCCUUUUUAUAUGUGUCGUGUCACUAAAGAUAUGCAUUUUAGUUAAAUUUGAAAAUAUAGAUCAAUGUGGUAUGGUAGCCAGACUCCAAGAUGGCCCCACCUCCAGAUAUUCAUACUCUUAGACAGUCUCUUACUACAUUAUACCUGAGUUGUCUUGUAUGUACAAUGAAUAUGCGAAAGUAAUGUGUUAAUGCUGACAACUAGUUUAUAAAAGAUACAGCAGGCUGGGAAUGGUGGCUCAUGGUUAUAAUUCCAGCACUUUAGGAGGCCAAGGUGAGUGAUCCACUUGAGGCCAGGAGUUUGAGACCAGCAUAGGCAACAUAGCUAGACCCUGUCUCUACAAAAAAAAAAAGUAGAAAUUAGCUUGGCAUGGUGGCAUGUACCUGUACUCCUAGCUGCUCAGGAAGCUGAGGUGGGAGGAUUAUUUGAGCCCAGGAGUUCAAGGCUGCAAUGAGCCAUGAUUGUACCACUGCACUCCAGCCUGGGUGACAGGGCAAGACCCUGACUCCAAAAACAAACAAACAAACAAACAAACAAAAAGAAGAAGAAGAGAGGCAUUGCAGCUUUUGUCUUGGUCUCUCCUUCUCUCAAUCUGUCUCUCUUGGAUCACUGGCUCUGGAGGAAAUCAUGUCAUCAGCAGCCUUAUGGAGAGGUUUCUGUGGUGAGGAACUAAAGCCUCUUGCCAGCAGCCAUAAGACUGAACUUUGAAGAGGAUCCUCUAGCCCCAGCUGCCACCUUAACUACAACCUUACUAGAGAUCCUGAAUCAGAGCCAACCAACUUAAUUGCUUCUCAGAAACUCUAUGAGAUAAUAAAUGUUUGUAGCUUUAAGCUACUACAUUUGGGGGCAAUAUGUUAUAUAUCAAUAGACAGCUAAUACUUAGGGGGAAAUUAACCCAUAAUUUCACAGUCCAAAAAUUACUGUUAACAUUUUGUGUGUAAAACAUUUUGUAUGUGCUUUACAAAUAGUUAAAAAAUAUGAAUAUAGAAGCUGUGGUGAAAAACAGUAUGACAGUUCCUCAGAAAUUAAACAGAAUUACUAUAUGCACCAAUAAUUCCAGUUCUAGGUAUAUACCCUAAAGAAUUAAAAGCAGAAACUCAAAUAUGUAUUUGUAUACCCAUGUUUGAGCAGCAUUAUUCACAAUAGCCAAAAGGUAGAAACAACCCAAGUGUCCAUCUAUGGAUGAAUGGAUAAACAAAAUGUGGAAUACACAGAUAAUGGAAUAGUAUUUAACCUUAAAGAGGAAUGGAAUUCUGAUACAUGCUACAGGUUGAGCAUCACAAAUCUGAAAAUUUAAAAUUUGAAAUGCUCCAAAAUUCAAAACUUUUCGAGUGCUAAUGUAACAUGCAAAGGAAAUGUUCAUUGGAGCAUUUUAGGGUUUGGGAUGCUCAACUGGGUAAUUAUAUAAUGCAAAUAUUCCAAAAUCUAUAACACUUCUGGUCCCAGGCAUUUUCGAUAAGGCAUAUUCAACCUGUGGAACAUGGAUGAACCUUCAAGACAUGAUGCUAAAUGAAAUAAUCUAGACACAAAACAACAAAUACUGUAUGAUUCUUCUUACAGGCUAUACCUAGAAUAGUCAAAUUCAUAGAGACAGAAAGUAGAAGAUUGGUUAUGGGAAUGAGGGAAAAAAUUAAAGGGGACUUAUUUUUUAACUUUUAAGUUCAGGGGCACAAAUGAAGGUUUGUUAUAUAGGUAAACUUGUGUCAUGGGGGCUUGUUGUACAGAUUAUUUCAUCACCCAGGUAUUAAGCAUAAUACUUAUUAGUUGUUUUUCCUGAUCUCCCUCCUCCCACCCUCCACCCUCUGAAAGGCCCCAGUGUGUGUUGCUCUCCUUUAUGUGUUCAUAUGUUCUCAUCAUUUAGCUCCCACUUACAAGUGAGAACAUGUGGUAUUUGUUUUUCUGUCCCUGUGUUAGUUUGCUGAGAAUAAUGACUUCCAGCUUCAUCCAUGUUCCUGCAAAGGACAUGAACUUAUUCCUUUUUAUGGCUGCAUAGUAUUCCAUGGUGUAUACGUACCACAUUUUCUUUAUCCAGUCUGUCACUGAUGGACAUUUAUGUUGAUUCCAUGUCUUUGCUAUUGUGAAUAGUGCUGUAAUAAACAUACAUGUGCACAUGUCUUUACAAUAGAAUUAUUUAUAUUCCUUUGGGUAUAUACCCAGUAAUAGGAUUGCUGGGCCAAAUGGCAUUUCUGUCUUUAGGUCUUUGAGGAAUCACCACAUUGUCUUCCACAGUGGCUGAACUAAUUUACACUGCCACCAACAGUGUAUAAGCAUUCCUUUGUUGGGGAGUUAUUUUUUAAUGGGUACAGAAUUUCAGUUUAGGAUGGUGAAAAAGUUUUGGAAAUGGAUAGUGGUGAUUUUUGCACAAUAAUGUGAAUGCACUUAAUGUCACUGAGUUGUACACUUAAAAUGGUAAAUUUUAUGUAUAUUUUACCACAAUAAGAAUACAUUAAUAUAGAAUGAUAUUAAUUUGUAACUCUUCUCUUUACUCAAUGUCAUAAAUGUCUUUCCAUGUCAAGUAGAAUGUACAUCAUUCUUAAUAUCUGGAUAGUAAUGAUAGAGGCAGGAAGCAGAGAAAUUCUAGGCAGACAGGGGCAGGUUCCCAGUGAAACACCACCUUUCAGCUGAAAAGCCUGAAGCCUGCAGUCCAAAGUGAGAACUUCUAUCCCUGUUUGCCCACUUUCUCCCAAUUGGUUCUUUCUGGAUAAUGUCUUUUUACCAAUUGAAUGUUGCUUUUUCCAAAACUACACAUGGCCUGCCUUGCCCCGCCCCCUCCACAUCGUGUGCCUAUAAAGACCCCAGGCUCAGUUGAUAUAGAAGGGAGAGGGGCAACUUGGCUUCAGAGGGAAGGCUGGACUUUGGAGUAGAGAUGGCUUGGCUUCAGAGAGGCAGUUUGACUUCAGGGAAGAGCCAGCCGAAGAUGACCAGACUCUGGGGAAAGAUUACCUGCCCAUCCUGCCCCCUCUCUAGCUUCCCUCUCGCUGAGAGCCACUUCCACCACUAAAUAAAAUUCUCUGCCUCCACCAUCUUUCAAGUGUCUGUGCAACCUCAUUCUUCUUUGAUGCCAGACGAGAGCACAGGACCCACUGAAUACAGGUACCCAGAAAAGGCUUUCAUACUGGCUCUUUGCCCUUGCUGGCAGAGGGCAGCUGCCCCAUGCAAUGAGGCAAGGGGCCCAAUGAGCUGAUAACACACUGCUGUCCAUGGAUGGUGGAUCUAAGAGAGCACUGUAACAUGCCCUCUGGAGCUUCGGGGUCACAGGCGCCCCCACCUGGGUGCUGCUGCGGGGUCCCCAUGGAGCUUGCUCCUGCCAGUGGCCAAACCAGCCAGCUGGAUCCCGCACUCAUUUGCUCACACCUGGUUUGGCUGCAGGGCCCACAUGGAGCUUGCUCCUGCUAGCGGCCAAAUGGCCGGCUGGAUCCUCCACUCACUUGCUCACAUGCUUCCUCCUGCAAGGGGUUGAGCACCAUGGGCUGAGUAAAUGGGGCACCCCCGUCGCAAAUCCAACAAAGCGGUCGAGAAAAAUCCUGCAUCAGUAAUGCAUUUGAUGGACAUCCUCUGAUUUGGGUCCAAGGAAGUCAUAGAACUCGGAGUUACAGACCCACUGACUUCUCCAACUACAUCUCUGUUGGACAUCUCUUCUCUCUUUGUCUCUCUGUGUCUCUGUUUCUUUGUCUCACUCUUUCCCUUUGUCUCUUUCAUGAUUUUUAAUUGUAGAAUUUAAGAGCCUUUCUCUUUGCAAAAAUCAAGCUUUAAAAAAAUGUGAGUGGAGUGGGGUACAGGAAAAAUUUACCUUAUUUGAUUUGUUUUUCCCCCUUCUCUAGCAGAUUGAGAAGCUUUCAUGCUUUCUCUCCAGUUAGCUUGGGAUUUUAUUACCAAUAAAGUGUCACUCUGUGCUCUUCAGAGCCUUACACCAUUUGUAGGCUCACUAUGGGCACAUUUGUAUUGCUGAUGUGCAAUCUGUGGGUUAGAAGUAAAAAAUGCUAACAGAGCCUUGAGAAGCCUCCUUGCAGUGAUAAGGGUUAUCCUGGAGGACAGAGGCAUCUCAGCAGGCUGGCUCCCUGGGAACACAGAUGGAGCUCGAGAGGAGUAGGUUCAGGACUGUUUCUGUGAAUGGAGAAGAGGUUUCAAAGAGAUUUUUCUGAAAUUUCAUUCUCUGGUUUGUUUGUGUGCUGUACAAGUAAGAUGGAUCACAUGUUAGAGGCUGAGUCUCCAAGGGAGGAUGUGUUCUGGCAGAGUCACCAGGGGGCAGGGUAAUAUUUCUUUCCAUCACACUUUAUUUUGCAGGUUUAGAAACUUGAUUUUAUCAGAGGUGCAUAACAUGGUUUGUUUAUUUACCAAACUUGAUAGAGCCUGAUUUGUAUAAAGGGUCCACCUUAGAAUUUCCACCGAACAGCACCUAUCAGGUAGGCCAUGUUAACACAUUUCGUUAUUGAUAGGUAGUGGGUUGGGAUUUUUUCCUCUUAGGAUUUUGGGUUUUGGAGUCAAACAUGCAAAGGUACGAUAGCUUCUAAUCUUAGAGAAGCUACUUGAACUUCAAUUUCCUCCCCAGUAAACUAGAAAAAAAAUACAUUGUAAGAUUAUGAAAAAUACAUGUAAUACAGUACAUAAAGUAUCUAGCACAGUUAGUAACACUCAUAGUAAGCUCUUCAUCCUUUUCCUCCUCCUAGAUGAGAUUAAGGGGUUUGUAAUCAAGUCACAAAUACCCAGGGCAGCCACUCACACAGGCAAGUACUUAAUAAGCCAGCCAGGGUGCUCAAGUCCAGCUAGGCCUGGCAUGCUGUUCCCUGGACAGGGUUGGUAUUCAGUCCAGCAAACGUAUGAGGCAUGUAUGGUGUCAAAUACUGUGGAGGACACGACAAUGUCCAAGUCAUAGUUCCUGCCCUCUGAAAACACAUGUGCAUCCACAGAAGCCUACAGGAUUUGCAUUCAAGUGAUUAAAAUCUCACCCAAGACUUGUGCUUCUCAAAGUGUGAAUCCUGGGCCUCUGGCAGCCUGACAGAAAGUGACUGUCACAUUCACAGACCUUGCAGACAACGUAGGUAGAUGGAAAAAUCUCACAAACCCUAAUUUAUCCAUAUCUAAAUAUAAGCAUAUUGCAUAUAGUUUAAGGAAUAAGGAAUAAAACUCAAAUAAUUUUCUUAACUUGUACUUUUGAUCUUAAAGAAAAUUUUGCUCCCUCUCCCUCUCUCUCUCCCUCUCCCCAUGGUCUCCCUCUCCCCACGGUCUCCCUCUCCCUCUCUUUCCACGGUCUCCCUCUGAUGCCGAGCCGAAGCUGGACUGUACUGCUGCCAUCUCGGCUCGCUGCAACCUCCCUGCCUGAUUCUCCUGCCUCAGCCUGCCGAGUGCCUGCGAUUGCCGGUGCGCGCCGCCACGCCUGACUGGUUUUCGUAUUUUUUUGGUGGAGACGGGGUUUCGCUGUGUUGGCUGGGCUGGUCUCCAGCUCCUAACCGCGAAUGAUCCGCCAGCCUCGGCCUCCCGAGGUGCGGGGAUUGCAGACGGAGUCUCGUUCACUCAGUGCUCAAUGUUGCCCAGGCUGGAGUGCAGUGGCGUGAUCUCUGUUCGCUACAACCUCCACCUCCCAGCCGCCUGCCUUGGCCUCCCAAAGUGCCGAGAUUGCAGCCUCUGCCCGGCCGCCACCCCGUCUGGGAUGUGAGGAGCGUCUCUGCCUAGCUGCCCAGUCUGGGAAGUGAGGAGCGCCUCUUCCCGGCCGCCAUCCCAUCUAGGAAAUGAGGAGCGUCUCUGCCCGGCCGCCCAUUGUCUGAGAUGUGGGGAGCGCCUCUGCCCCGCCGCCCCGUCUGGGAUGUGAGGAGCGCCUCUGCCCGGCUGCGACCCCGUCUGGGAGGUGAGGAGCGUCUCUGCCCGGCCGCCCCGUCUGAGAGAUCACUCAUUCUGGGGGCAGCCCUCUGGCAUGUAAUGAGCAGUCCUAUGGAGAGGCCCAUGUGACAGUAGCCAUGCGAGUGACACUGGAAGUGAAACCUGCAGCUCCAGUCAAGCCUUUAGAAGACUGCAGCCCUGGCUGACAGCUUGACAGCAAACUCAUGAGAGACUCUCAGCUUGAACAACUCAGCUAAACUGUUCCUGGGUUCCUGGUCCUCAAAAACUGUACGAGAUGAAAAAAAAGUUUGUUUUUUUAAGCUGCCAAGUUUUGGGAUAAUUUGUUAUUCUAAUAUAUUUUUUAAUACCUGGAAGUAAGGUGCUACCAUAAUAAAUACCUAAAAUGUAGGCACAGCUAGGAAACUAGACAGUGGAGGUAGCUGGAAAGAAUUUAAGAAGCAUAGCAGUGAAAGUCUCAGGAGCCUUGAACAAAACAUUAGAAAAACUUUGGACUUUGACCAGGCUGCUGGUGGAGGUUUAAAAGAAAGUGAGAAAAAUCUUGUUGAAAACAGAACAGGGAAUCCUUACUAUGGAGUGGCAUAAAUCUUAGCAAUAUUGUUGUCUGCAAUAAUGUGGGUGGUGGGAAUGUACCUGGUAAACUGGGUGAUCUAAUUUGCUAUUCAUAAAGACAUAAAGAUUCUCAGCUUUUACAGAUGGUGAAAAAUGCUAAAUUAAGAAAUGGCUGAAGGACAGAGGUCAAAUCCUGGGCACCAUCAUGAAAACAUAAUCCAAAGAUGAAGCUGAGAUGUGACUAUAAAUCCUUUGUUAUGACCUCAGAAAGAUCAAAAGUGGUGCCUCAGAGUACCAGUUUGGUCACACAAAGGCCCUCUAAAGUUUUUAAGGCUGUGACUCACAGAUUCUUUCAAAAACAGGGCUCCUGAGAAGCUUAAGAGCAUAGUUUUUCAGCAGAAUCACAAGGUGGGAAAGGGAUUAUCUCAAAAAGAUUUUUGGGCGUGACUUUUGUCUAAUGGAAUGGACCCCCAAAAAUUCAUAGGUGAUUCACAAAUUUUUUAAAAGAAUUAUAUUAGUAGAAACAUUGCCAACUAGAACUCAAAGGGAUAGAGACAGUAUGAAAUGAAAAAAGGCCUUGGUACUCACUUUGCCCCUGUUUCACUGCAGGUUAAGAAAAAAUUUCAGCUGCAUACAUGUACUAACUUUCAUGAAAAAGAAAGAAUAGCUAAGCAUGGUGACUCACUCCUGUAACCCCAGCACUUUGGGAGGACAAGGUGGGAAGACCACUUGAGCCCAGGAGUUUGAAUCAGCCUGGGCAACAUAGCAAGACUCUGUCUCUUUUUAAAAAAGGAUGACUCUGAAGGGGAAGCUAAAAGCCUCAGAGAAUAACUCAUGCGUAGAAAUAGGACUAAAUCCUAAGGCGAUUCCAACAUUUGCCUGGCUGGAUUUCAGAGCUGCUAUGGGGACAUAGUAGUGUGUCCAGUACCUUUCCUUUUUGAAUAUUAAUGCAUAUAGUGUUUAUUCCUGUUCCACCAUUGUGUGUUUGGGGUGUGUGUGUGUGUGUGUGUGUGUCUAUGUGUGUGCGUGUUAGUUUCAGAUUGAGAGGAAUUAUACCCAAGGAGCUAGAGUUAAGAAAUUAUACCUAAGGAACCUCUUGUGUACCUGGUCCUGAUUUAAAUGACAAGACUCUAGACUUUGAGUUGAUGCUGUAAUGAGACAAGAAUUUUAGAAAUGUUGAGAUGGAGUGGACGUGUUUUGCAUGUUGGAGGGACUUGAUUCACUGGAGCCUAGAAGGCAGACUAUGGUAGCCAGCCCUCAAGAUUGUCUCCUCCUGGUAUUCAUACCCUUGUAUAAUUCCCCUCCCACAUUGUACCAGAAUUUAUCUGUGUGACAGAAUAUGGCAGAAGUAAUGAUAUGUCACUUCUGAGAUUAGGUUAUAAAAGACAUUGUGGCUACCAUCUCUCAUCACUCACUCAAAGGGAAGCCAACCACCAUGCAAUGAGAAUCUCAGGUAAUGAGGACCUGAGACCUGUUGUCAAUCACGUGAAUAAGCUUGGGAGGAGAUUCUCCAGCCCCAGUCAAGCCUCAGAAGACUUCAGCCCUAGGUGACAGCUUGAUGAUAAUCUCGGGAGGCAGAACCACCCAACUAAGCCACUCCUGGAUUCCUGACCCUGACCCUGACCCUAGAAACAGUGUGAGCUGGAAUUCUGUGAAGCACAUGACCUCAAGUCUUUGGAUAAAUGGAAACGCAGCUUAUGCCGGAAAGAUGGAAGGCUGGCUGUACUAAUAUCAGAAAUGGAAGAGGAGAGACAUCACUAGAGAUCCCAUGGAUAUUGAAAGGAUAAUAAAGGAGUAUUAUGAGCAUUGUU
rnacentral:lncRNA from 1 species